rnacentral:rRNA from 1 species
AGAGUUUGAUCCUGGCUCAGAACGAACGCUGGCGGCAGGCUUAACACAUGCAAGUCGAGCGCUGUAGCAAUACAGAGCGGCGCACGGGAGAGUAAUACAUGGGAACCUACCUUUUGGUUCGGAAUAACGUCGGGAAACUGACGCUAAUACCGGAUACGUCCUUCGGGAGAAAGAUUUAUCGCCGAUAGAUGGGCCCAUGUUGGAUUAGCUAGUUGGUGAGGUAAUGGCUCACCAAGGCAACGAUCCAUAGCUGGUCUGAGAGGAUGAUCAGCCUCACUGGGACUGAGACACGGCCCAGACUCCUACGGGAGGCAGCAGUGGGGAAUAUUGGACAAUGGGGGCAACCCUGAUCCAGCCAUGCCGCGUGAAUGAUGAAGGCCUUCGGGUUGUAAAGUUCUUUUGGCGGGGACGAUGAUGACGGUACCCGCAGAAUAAGCUCCGGCUAACUUCGUGCCAGCAGCCGCGGUAAUACGAAGGGAGCUAGCGUUGUUCGGAAUUACUGGGCGUAAAGGGCGCGUAGGUGGCUUGGCAAGUUGGAUGUGAAAGCCCAGGGCUCAACCCUGGAAUUGCAUUCAAGACUGCCUUGCUUGAAUUCGGUAGAGGUUGGUGGAAUUCCCAGUGUAGAGGUGAAAUUCGUAGAGAUUGGGAAGAACACCCGUGGCGAAGGCGGCCAACUGGACCGACAUUGACACUGAGGCGCGAAAGCGUGGGGAUCAAACAGGAUUAGAUACCCUAGUAGUCC